GGAGAGGUGGCCGAGUGGUUUAAGGCGCAGACCUGGAAAGUCUGUGAGGCAGUAAUGUCUCCGUGAGUUCAAAUCUCACUCUCUCCG
rnacentral:tRNA from 1 species